AUCUGUUACAAGCAGGUAGGACGGGUUAAUAACGAGCACACCUAGUAUCAAAACUUAUAAUCUGAGUUCUAUAUAUAGGACAUUAGCUAACAAGGAACUAACUAUAAUUCCCAUCAGGUUUAAUAAAGUAUCUAUCAAGGCAGCUUCAUCAAAACAGACAAGGUCAAGACACAAAACAAAGUAAUAUGACCGGGGUUACACCAUCUCUUGUUUACAAAAAAAACAAGCAAGACGAACGGAUAUGACGGAAGAAAAGAAUCAAAACAGAGCAGCUGAAAGAGGAAAAGAGUCAAAAACAAAAACAAAACCUGUUAGAUCAUCUGGUACGGAUGAGGAAGGUGGGUCUUGCAGGUGUUACUUAUGCUGCUUUUCCAAACAUGAAUCAGAAGUCGAGAUGGAGGAUAUUGUACCUGAAAACAAGUGUUAUCCAGUAAAUCAACUGGCUGCAGAAUCAGGUCUAGAGAAGAAUGAUGAACUCCCAUUGUCAAGUUGUCAAAUCAAGUCUGAGCACGGAGAAAGGUCUGCAGUCUGGGUUUGUCACUCUGUCCCAUCCCUCUCGCCUUGAUGACAGUUUCAGGAUGGAGACGUCCAGAAAAGCUCUCCACCAGACAGCAGUGGCUCCGACUCCUUCACCUCGUUCACCGUAGAUUUUCACUCCUCCCUUAUGACUGAGGUGCUCAGCUUGAGGAGGAGAAGAACAGGAG
rnacentral:lncRNA from 1 species